CUUGUCUCUGGGAACAUGGCUCACUGUUCUGUCCCUUGUAGAGUUUCCUACUGGGUCUCUGGAGCAAGACUCAUUCAACCAAAACAGGCUGCCUUUCAUGGCCCCACAGUCCUUUAUAAGACUUGCCUUGGUCAUGGUGUCUGUUCACAGCAGUAAAACCCUAAGACACGUGGUUACAAUCAGCUAUUAUCUGCUUUGCAGGUGCUGGGAACCAAAUCUGGGUCCACAACAAAAGCAUCAGGCACUCCCAACUACUGAGCCAGCUCUCCAGCUUAAUUUUGGGUUUUUGAGAGAGAGAGAGGGAGAGAGAGAGAGAGAGAGAGAGAGAGAGAGAGAGAGAGAGAGAGAGUCUCAUGUAGUUUGUGGUGACUUCUGAAUGAAAAAAAAGAAAGAAAGAAAGAAGGAGGAUAUGACCCACUCCUAAGGGGUUGUUUUUAUUCCAGAUACAAGGGCGAGCACAGGCAGAAGCAGAGACGUCUGGGAGAAUCCAGAGUGGACAGGACCAUGACUGACCAACUAGCUCUGCCCAAAGCUGGGCUGUGAACUGAAUUGGGCAGAACUGGAAUUUAUGAUUUGAGCACUUCCACACAAACCUCCUUCACACCACCCUGCUCUGCAGUGAAAGUCUAAGAAGCUGAGAGGAACUAAGUCCUGAGAGGGAACCAGUCCCUGAAGCACGUGGUGAGCAUAAGAAAAACAACAAAGCUUCAUCCAGCAUCCACAGCACCAGCACACGUGACUGCUGCAGCGGCCACUGAGAGCGAGAGGGAAAUAUCAGCCCCGGGGAAGAGUAGGAAGCGGUGGCCACAAGGCAGCCUGAAUGCUGGUUUAUCACUUUGGAAUUCAGCUCCACUCAAGCUUUUCAGGAGAUGGGCAGAAGGCAGCAGCAGAGUCUUUUCCAAACUGUAACACGAGUGCCCGUAGUCGGAUUUCCAAGCCUGUCUGAACCUUGGGAACCUGGGGCUCCAUGUCUCUCUCAGCACUCUGGACUUCUGAACUCCUACCAGAAUAUCUCUUUAAGCCCUAAUUACAGCAUCCACAGCUUCUCUGACCUGCAGCUUCAAACUUUUCCAUGAUCUAGUUCCAUAAGUCUAUGAACCAUAUGAGUCGGGUUUAUCACAGU
rnacentral:lncRNA from 1 species